AAAUAGCAGGAGCCGCCCCACCUCUCAAGCAGGGCCCUUAAAAAGCCCUGAGCUCCAGAGUCAUGACUUAUCCCAGAAACUGAUCCUGCUUUGGGGGACUCUCUUCGCAGAAGCACAGGAAGGAAGGACCACGUGGCUUUUCCCAGGCUGUGAAGGAUCCCAAUUAUUGGGACACACGGUGGGAAAGCCCCGGUGUCCCUUAAACAAUGGAUAAGGAGGAAACAGGGACGGAAUGAAGUGGAAAGCUGUUCCUACGGAAGCCAUCAGUUAUGAGGGCCCAGGGGCCAGGAGACAGAGGCAGGGGGAGGAGAGGACUACCAGGGGGAGUAUGCAGCAGACUGGGGUCUGGAACAAUAAGAAGAAAGGACUCCUCUCCGUUUCCAAACGGCACUUGCGAAGGGGAACGGAAGGCACACAACAAGGUCCUCACCGGAGCAGCGGAAAUCCGGCGGUUCUUGCCAGGUGUCGUAUUUUUUCGGUUGGCAUAGCGGGAGGCAUAGGUUCGGGGCGGCACCUGAGGGGGCAUGGUCUUGCUCCGGGCCACGGGUUUUCCGGGAGUGUCCUUGCUGAAGUCCAGGGGCCCCCGGCCCUCCUUCCAGCCCCUGGUGGUGUCACGCAACAUUUCUGCAUCGUAGGUUGACUUCAGGUUGAGCCGUGUAAUCGCAUCAUUGAUCCCGUCAUAUCGGAAGAGGACA